AUUGAACGCUAGCGGCAUGCCUAACACAUGCAAGUCGAACGGAGUGGCGGACGGGUGAGUAAUGCCUAGGAACCUGCCCAGUAGUGGGGGAUAACUACGCGAAACGGUAGCUAAUACCGCAUACUAUCGGAGGAGCCGAUGUCGGAUUAGCUCGUUGGUGGGGUAACGGCCUACCAAGGCGACGAUCCGUAACUGGUUUGAUAGGAUGACCAGUCACACUGGAACGGAGACACGGUCCAGACUCCUACGGGAGGCAGCAGUGGGGAAUUUUGGACAAUGGGCGAAACCCUGAUCCAGCCAUGCCGCGUGUGUGAAGAAGGUCUUCGGAUUGUAAAGCACUUUAGGGUGGGAAGCGUUACCUAAAGAAUAAGCACCGGCUAACUUCGUGCCAGCAGCCGCGGUAAUAC
rnacentral:rRNA from 1 species